rnacentral:rRNA from 1 species
AGUACCGUGAGGGAAAGGUGAAAAGCACCCCGAUAAGGGGAGUGAAAUAGUUCCUGAAACCGGAUGCCUACAAGCAGUUGGAGCCUCUUUAUGGGGUGACAGCGUACCUCUUGCAUAAUGGGUCAGCGAGUUAGUCUUACAAGCAAGCUUAAGCCGAUAGGUGUAGGCGCAGCGAAAGCGAGUCUUAAUAGGGCGAUUGAGUUUGUGGGAUUAGACCCGAAACCAGGUGAUCUAGCCAUGAGCAGGUUGAAGGUGAUGUAACAGUCACUGGAGGACCGAACCCACGUCUGUUGAAAAAGACGGGGAUGACUUGUGGUUAGGGGUGAAAGGCCAAUCAAACCUGGAGAUAGCUGGUUCUCCGCGAAAUCUAUUUAGGUAGAGCGUCAGACGAAUACCAUCGGGGGUAGAGCACUGAAUGGGCUAGGGGGCCUUACCGGCUUACCAAACCUAAUCAAACUCCGAAUACCGAUGAGUACUAUCUGGCAGACAGACUACGGGUGCUAAGGUCCGUGGUCGAGAGGGAAACAGCCCAGACCGCCAGUUAAGGUCCCAAAGUUGUGGCUAAGUGGGAAAGGAUGUAGGACGGCCAAGACAACCAGGACGUUGGCUUAGAAGCAGCCAUCGUUUAAAGAAAGCGUAACAGCUCACUGGUCUAAAUAAGCUGUCCCGCGCCGAAGAUGUACCGGGGCUCAAGCCACACACCGAAACUGCGGACUUGUUCUUUGAACAAGUGGUAGCGGAGCGUUCCGUAAGCCUGUGAAGGUGUGCCGUAAGGCAUGCUGGAGGUAUCGGAAGCGAGAAUGCUGACAUGAGUAGCGAUAAAGGGAGUGAGAACCUCCCUCGCCGAAAGCCCAAGGGUUCCUGCGCAAGGCCAAUCCGCGCAGGGUGAGUCGGCCCCUAAGACGAGGCAGAAAUGCGUAGUCGAUGGGAAACAGGUUAAUAUUCCUGUACCCGUGAGAAGUGACGGCCUCUGGAAGUAGUUUUUCCUUAUUGGAUUGGAGAAGCUGCCAAGGAGGUCCAGGAAAUAACUCUCACAUAUGGACCGUACCCCAAACCGACACAGGUGGGCAGGUUGAAUAUACCAAGGCGCUUGAGAGAAUGGUGUUGAAGGAACUCGGCAAAUUGCCCCCGUAACUUCGGGAGAAGGGGGCCCACCGUGAAGGCAACUUUACGGUGGGGGCACAGACUAGGGGGUGGCGACUGUUUACUAAAAACACAGGGCUCUGCGAAGUCGCAAGACGACGUAUAGGGUCUGACGCCUGCCCGGUGCCGGAAGGUUAAGAGGAGAGGUGCAAGCUUUGAAUUGAAGCCCCGGUAAACGGCGGCCGUAACAAUAACGGUCCUAAGGUAGCGAAAUUCCUUGUCGGGUAAGUUCCGACCUGCACGAAUGGCGUAACGACUUCCCCACUGUCUCCACCAUGAACUCAGCGAAAUUGAAUUCUCCGUGAAGAUGCGGAGUACCCGCGGUCAGACGGAAAGACCCCGUGCACCUUUACUACAGCUUUGCAUUGGCAUUAGGAACAAUAUGUGUAGGAUAGGUGGGAGGCUUUGAAGCCAUGGCGCCAGCCAUGGUGGAGCCACCUUUGAGAUACCACCCUUUUGCUUCCUGAUAUCUAACCGAGGUCCGUUAUCCGGAUCCGGGAC